GGGAGGUUUUUGACGGUUUAAUGUUAUUCCACCCUCCUUACAGGGCCCGUUUACAUUGAAAAUACAAAUUUGUCCUUCACUAUUUUGCAUAUUUCUUAUCAUGUCCUAUAUAUAAACCCUAGAUUCCCACUCCAUCCCACACCUUCUUCAUACCUCUCUCAAUCUCUCACCCGGUGCAGGAUUUUUUAUGUCCUUGAUCUCCAUCACUCGCUUCUUCAAGAAAAACCAGAAAAGGUGAAAAAGAGAUAGAUCAAGAGAAGGACAAACUGCGGAAAUGGGUUCUGAAGCCUUGCAAGCUACUAAGGUAUAUCGCCAACUUCUCAAAGCUGUCAAGAAUCACAUUGGAAAGGAAGACCACAAAAGGCACUUCAGAGACCAUAUAACACAAGAGUUUCAGAAGAACCGUGGACUGCUGGACCUCUCAUCUAUUCAACAAAAAUUAAAGGUUGCCCAUGAUUACACUUAUCUGCUUAACAGUGUGCACCAUCACAAGGAGUUACUGCUCUCUUAUAACAUUGCUGUGGAUAGAUCAGAUGAAAUGAAGAGAAUUCUUGGAAAAUCUGCUUCAAGUGUGGGUCUUCAGCUUCCAGAGGUUUAUCAGCCUUGAUUAGGUGGUAGGUUUCAUGCACUUAAUCUCACAAAUUUGGUAAAAAAAUUGUCACUGAUGCAGUAAAAUAUUGGAGAGAGGAAUGAAUAGGUUCCUGUUUUUUGUCCUGGUAAUUGUUUUUAGCACAUGUAUUUUCUUUCUUCAGUUCCAUGAUUCCAUCAUCCAUCCUCUGAAUUGUGUAGCUCUCUGGGAACAGGGUCUCGAGUUACAUAACGCUCUCUAUUAGGUUGCUUGGAAUGUAGACAAAAAAUAAUUUGGAAACUUGGGACAUUUUGUGGUUGGUGUGGUGGAAGUUAGAUUCCAAAAUUUUUUUCCCUUACACUGUUGCCUUGACAAACAAAUGAAGCCCAUUGUUGGAGAAAAGGAAUGAAAUAAAUUAUCGUGUGCUUUCUGAAUUCUCCCCUUUGUUAUAAGUUGCAUGUUGGCUCUUGAAAGGCAUAUCAGCACUCAGCAGAAACGAUUACUUGAUUUUUACUUGAUGCUUGCGACUUCCAUGGUGUGCUCUUUCUUGUAGGUAAUUCAGUCCAAUUAAAUAUGGUUGGCUUCAAGAUGAGACUAUCAUCCUGGAGUUCCAAAAUACAAGUUCUCAGCUUGAGUGUCAGCUUCCAUCCCUCUAAAUCUAUCAAUUUUUUUUUUACCCCAGAUAAUUUCUCCGUCAGACAUAAAGAACCAUGCGGCCCUUAGAAUUGGCAACAAUUGGUGGAAAACUUACUGGUGAAGUUUCCAGGUUUCACCUCAAUGAAUUGAUAUACAUGUUGAUCUUUAGAUUUCUGUAAUCACCUUUUUUAGGCAAAUAUUUUGGCAUUCAUGCAUUCUCAGAUGCCCUCAAAUUCAUUAUAUUGGUGAAAAACCAUGGGUACCUGAACCAUAUCACCAUCUCUGUCAUGCUUUAGGGUCUCUAUUACUUAUCCAGCGGAAGCCUAGAGAAAGGAGGAGCACUCUGAUAAGCAAGGAGAUAUGAACAAAGAUAGAGUUCUGGAUAGACUUGUUGCUGACAAUCUUGGGAUAUAUACCUGGAAUUAUAUACGCAAUUUAUGUGUUGGUUGGGUAGUGGAAGAUGAAUGUUUACAAAGAUUAUAUGUAGCUACAUUUGGGCGUGUCCCCCCUUCUCUUUUGUUGUUCUAAUCUAGCAGAUAUCAGACCACUAUGAUUUGUUUA